UACGGAGGGUGCGAGCGUUAAUCGGAAUUACUGGGCGUAAAGCGUCUGUAGGCGGAGUGGUAAGUUGGGCGUGAAAGCUCCGGGCUCAACCCGGAGAGGACGUUCAAUACUGCCAAACUAGAGGGCAUCAGAGGAGCGUGGAAUUUCCGGUGUAGCGGUAAAAUGCGCAGAUAUCGGAAGGAACACCAAUGGCGAAGGCAGCGCUCUGGGAUGCACCUGACGCUAAGAGACGAAAGCUAGGGGAGCGAACAGG
rnacentral:rRNA from 1 species